rnacentral:rRNA from 1 species
UACGGAGGGAGCUAGCGUUGUUCGGAAUUACUGGGCGUAAAGCGUACGUAGGCGGUUAUUCAAGUCAGAGGUGAAAGCCCGGGGCUCAACCCCCGGAACUGCCUUUGAAACUAGAUAGCUAGAAUCUUGGAGAGGUCAGUGGAAUUCCGAGUGUAGAGGUGAAAUUCGUAGAUAUUCGGAAGAACACCAGUGGCGAAGGCGACUGACUGGACAAGUAUUGACGCUGAGGUACGAAAGCGUGGGGAGCAAACAGG